AGAGUUUGAUCCUGGCUCAGGACGAACGCUGGCGGCGUGCCUAAUACAUGCAAGUCGAGCGAAUCUUUAGGAGCUUGCUCCUGAAGAUUAGCGGCGGACGGGUGAGUAACACGUGGGCAACCUGCCUGUAAGACUGGGAUAACUUCGGGAAACCGGAGCUAAUACCGGAUAAUUCUUUUCUCUACAUGAAGAAAAGCUAG
rnacentral:rRNA from 1 species